AUUGAACGCUGGCGGCAGGCCUAACACAUGCAAGUCGAGCGAGCGGCGUACGGGUGAGUAAUGUAUGGGGACUGCCCGAUAGAGGGGGAUAACUACUGGAAACGGUGUCUAAUACCGCAUACUAUCGGAUAACCCAUAUGGGAUUAGCUAGUAGGUGGGGUAAAGGCUCACCUAGGCGACGAUCUCUCGCUGGUCUGAGUGGAUGAUCAGCCCCACUGGGACUGAGACACGGCCCAUACUCCUACGGGGGCAGAAGUGGGGAAUAUUGCACAAUGGGCGAAAGCCUGAUGCAGCCAUGCCGCGUGGAUGAAGAAGGCCUUAGGAUUGUAAAGUACUUUCAGCGGGGAGGCGUUACCCACAGAAGAAACAACGGCUAACUCCGUGCCAGCAGCCGCGGUAAUAA
rnacentral:rRNA from 1 species